AGGUGAUAUGAUGCUUUACCAUCUUUCGGGACUGACUUAAAAUGCUGAGUUUCUUUAUUACACUGAUCACCA